CUCCUCAUCAAAAACAUGACUUUGGUCUCCGUCCUCAUCUGGACUCUCCUCUGCUUCACUCAGGGGUCUGUUGGACAAAAUGUUGUCUUGACUCAGCCAGCAGCCAAAUCAGUGCAGCUGGGUCAGACUGUCUCUAUUGACUGUAAGGCCAGUCCAGCAGCUGCUCACCACACUGGUUCACAAUACUACCUGUCCUGGUACCAUCAGAAAGCUGGAGAAGCUCCUAAACUUCUGAUCUACAGAACAUCAGACAGAUAUUCUGGAAUUUCCUCCAGAUUCAGUGGAAGUGGAGCAGGGAAUGGAGUUGACUUCACUCUGACCAUCAGUGGAGUUCAGGCUGAAGAUGCAGCAGUUUACUACUGUCAGAGUUAUCAUAGGAUCACACGUUGGUUCUCUGUGACCAACGAGUUCACACAGUGAAAAAGCGUCGUACAAAAACCUCCCUCA